rnacentral:tRNA from 2 species
GGACGAUUAGCUCAGUUGGUAGAGCAUUCGCUUGACGUGCGAAAGGUCGAAGGUUCGAGCCCUUUAUCGUCCACCA